rnacentral:rRNA from 1 species
CGCUGGCGGCGUGCCUAAUACAUGCAAGUCGAACGGUCUUUCUAUGGAAGCUUGCUUCCACUGAAAAGAUAGUGGCGAACGGGUGAGUAACACGUGGGUAACCUGCCCAUAAGAGGGGGAUAACAUCCGGAAACGAGUGCUAAUACCGCAUAGUUUUCUUGAUCGCAUGAUCGGGAAAGGAAAGACGGCCUUUGUGCUGUCGCUUAUGGAUGGACCCGCGGCGUAUUAGUUAGUUGGUGAGGUAACGGCUCACCAAGACGAUGAUACGUAGCCGACCUGAGAGGGUGAUCGGCCACAUUGGGACUGAGACACGGCCCAAACUCCUACGGGAGGCAGCAGUAGGGAAUCUUCCGCAAUGGACGAAAGUCUGACGGAGCAACGCCGCGUGAGUGAAGAAAGGUUUUCGGAUCGUAAAACUCUGUUGUCAGAGAAGAACAAGUUGGAGAGUAACUGCUCCAGCCUUGACGGUAUCUGACCAGAAAGCCACGGCUAACUACGUGCCAGCAGCCGC